AUGACGGUCAAGCUCAUACAAGGAGAAAGUAACCAAGAGAAGUGUCAUCACAGAAGAAAUGGCAGAAGUUCCUCAGACAGCUGUGAACACCGAGCAGUGCUUGGAGUCAGACAGUAGACUUCAUCUUUAUUAUACUUCUCUGACUGGACGAGCAAGGAGCAGUUAGAGUCCAUGAGAAAAACUCAAAAGAAGAUACUUUGAAGAAUGCUGGUAAUCAAAACCAACAAGUGCAGAAAUGAAAGCUCCCAAGCAAAGAACUCACUGGACUAAGAUGUGGAAAGACAUGCUGCACAAUGACCGACAAUGAGCAACAACCAAGAACAGUAUUCACUGAUUACCUUUAAAAAUUAUUCAUAGUAACAGUUAGGUAAUAAUUAUUUUACCAAGUACAAAAUGUUUAAUUCAAAAACUUUGCCAUUUACCAAUGUGUUUCUCAAAACACCUUUUAAAUUUUUUUAUGUUUUAACCUUUAUUAAAUGUUACAGUCCAAGUGUACAUAUAAAUGCCUCAUUCAUUCAAGUAAAUGCAUGGGUAAUUUUGCAAAAUGUGUUAAAUAUUUUAUCUACACUUAUUGUAUAACUGCUGCUUUUU